GCACUCCAGCCUGGGCAACAGAGCGAGACUCCAUCUCAAAAAACAAAACAAAAAAGAGUUCAAUUUCCAGUGCCAAUCAAGCUCUGACACUGCACAGCGAGCUGAACUUGCGUCUACACUGCUUUGGUGGGAAUCUGGAUGGGACUGACCGCCUGCUGCGAGGGAAACCUUCUGAACGGAGAAGCACCUGCCUCUGGAAACAGAGAGGAUGAUAAUGGCUUCUUGCUGUCAGCAGAGGUUACCAAAAAAGAGAUGGCAUGUUAGAGGCAUGAGGUUGCCUGGGGACUUGGAGGCAACCUCGCCCCCUGCCACCUGCCUCAAUCUCAAAGCAAUAUUCAGCCUUCUGGGGAAGGCUCAGGGGCCGGUCAGAGAUGAGGAGCCGGUGCAGAGCUAUGUGUGGUCAAAGCUAAUCUGCCCUGGUGAGAAGGCCCAGGAGGCCAGCUGUCCCCUCAGCUGAGCUCAGGACAGACCACCCCUCCCCAGCAGCACCGACCAGCUCUCAGAGGAUGCUGAGAUGCUCCCAGCCCUCCUUGGGCCAGGGCUGUGGGGCUGACUUGUUCCUGGAAGGCUGGUUAAUCACACUGUCACCCAGAGAGUCACUGAAAACCCAGGGGCUUUGUUCAUGAAAGGAGGUGUUUGUUAGGCCUAAGUGCUCCUUUAAAAGCCAUAGGUCUGCAUAAGAAACGUGAUUGCUCACGACAAUAAACACCACACAUGUCACUGAUUAGAGGAGGCAACUUCACGCAUCCUCCAGCGAGACAUCGUAACAGGGACUCUUAUUUGAAGAGGCAGAUCGGCAACUCGGAAAACACAUCACAGAGGAUUCUAGCCCGCAGAAAGGGGAACAGGGAGAGUCAGACCCCUCUGUGGGCUGGCAGGAAACAGCCCCGUUCUAGGAUUUCCUCAGGGACCCCUCGCACCCCCAUCCCCGAGCGGCUGGGAAAGUGGGAGUGUGUCCCUCUUCCGGGCCUCCUCAACCUGGCGGCCCCAGCACACCCGAGAGUGGGUGGUGUUGCAAACAGGACGGGCUCUGCACCCCACCCGCGGUUUCCCAGAUGAGCCGGGACCUACUUCUCCAGUGUGAACAGUGAGGCCAAGCGUGAGGCUUUCAGGUCUGCUCAGAAGGGGCCGGAGCGGCUGGCGGAGAGCACGGCUGGCCCAGAACUGGAGCCCGCUUUCCCUGGCAUCACCGCCUCUGCCUCUCGAGCUCAUGCUGUCGCCAGGGCGUCUCAAGGUGUCACAUUUGUUUUCUGACUAUUUCGGAGUGCUCUGGCCUUGGCAGGCUCCCACCUGCCCAGUUCCGGGAUGCAUUGCCAGCCUGCCCUAGUGCUGGCCUCACCUCCCCAGGGCUGCCCUCCCCACCGGCUGCCAGGCUGCACCUGCGUCUGGGCUGUGCCUGCUGCAGCAGCUCAACACAGUGCACAGCCCCCAACCUGAAGUGACCUUUGCAGGAGCCCGCACUGUAAAAUGGAACAAAGUCACGUGGACACACACACCUCUUCUCCUCCUCCUCUCCAGCAUCCCCUCUGGAGCGGCAGCAGAAACAGAAAAGUUUGCCAAGCAACAAUGAAAAGACAGCAGCCAAGUCAAGGACAGAGGAGCUGAGCUGAAUCACCAGAAGGCGGGACAAAGCGCGCCAGCUUCUCCCCGUCCUCUGCUUCCACGGGAACCGGGUCCAGCCUCAAGGGCCUUCCUACAGCUCCAGCCCUGCCCUCUGCCCUCUGGGUCCCUGCGGCACUCCCUGGCCAAGCUCCUUAAGUAGCCCUUGCUUGGUUAACAGGCAGAAUGCGCCACAGCCAACUGUGAUCUUCAGGGGAGGGAGGGCCUGUCGGACACUGAUUCCAGGUGUUAGCAAAGCACUCUAAAAUAUGUUGAGAGGCUUCAGAGAGAUUAGCGCAGCCUGACCAUCAUCUGCAGAGCUGGGCCAUACGCCAGGGUGGCCAAGAUUUCCCCUGCAACACUGGUCUCACUUCAACCAUCACCUUCAUUCAUUUAUAUACAUGUAAGAGCUUAAUUGGGAUAUAAUUCACAUGCCAUGAAAUUCGCCCUCUAAAAUAUACAAUUCAGUAACUUUUAGUGUAUUCACAGAGUUGUGCAGCCACCAUUUCCAGAACAUUCCCUCACCCCAUAAAGAAACCCCAUCCCCAUCAGCAGUCACGCCCUGCUCCCCAUUCCGCGCCCUCUGCCCGGGCUAUCAGUCAUCUGCUGUGUCUCUAGGAAUCUGCUAUUCUGGACAUUUCACAGGGAUGAUACAAUACGUGGGCUUCUGUGCCUGGCUUCUUCCACUGAGUUUCACACAUUUCCCAGGCCUAUCCCUGCUGCGGUGUGGAGCGGCAUGCCAUUCCUUUUCAUGGCUGGCUACUAUUUCAUGCAAUGGAUGGAUUUUGUUUACCCAUUCAUCACUGGAUGACCAUGAAGGUGGUUUCCACUUUGGGGCCAUAAUAAAUGACGUUGCUACAGACAUUUGUACAAGGUUUUGUGAGGACACGUUUUUCUCUUGGAUGACUCCUAGAGUGGAGCUGCUGGCUCACAGGGUAACUCUGUGUUUCACCUUUAAAGGAACUGCCAGACUGUUUCCACAGCGGCUGCUCCA